UUGAUCCCUGCAUUUUAUAGGAAAAGCAAGGGCCCAUUGGAACCUGUUGCUGUUGGCUCUCUUUACAAGGUGAAUUUAGACAUAUGAGCACUCCAGGAGGAGAUCUGAUUUGACAAACAUGUCUAGAAAGAGGAAAAGCAAGCACUGGCAUUAACUUGGCUUCCACUGAGACUAGGCUCCAUUAGUGAACUAAAUGUUGGUAUUCUGGGAAAAGCCAGCUUGUUACUGGAAAUUUUAAUUCUUUGAAAAAAAUGGCAUUAGAUUUGCCUUUGGUUGUUGCAUUCCAAGAGCUCUUGCCUAUGAAACCUUUCUUGAUCAUAGAGUGCAGCAAGUCUACCAGAAUGUUCAAUUUAUCUGCUACCAGUCAUCAUUUCUUGCCCUGGCAGACAUUGCUAAUCAAUCUGAUGCUGACUCAGCUCACAUUUAAACUAAGAUUUCCUGAGAUGAUUCUGUAUGCAACCACUACCAACUGAUGAGUGCUGACAUGAAUAUGAAACCUGUUUGAACUCCUUGUGCUUUUAUGGUGUGUACUUUACAAUGAACUCUGAUCUAUUCACUACCAUUGAGUUUUAGUGGCAUUUGAUAAUGUUGCACUUGAUUAUAUUGUUAUAGUAUCCUCUUUUUUGAUUCAAAUCUGUUAAAAAUUGUUUAUCUCCAAAACGUUUAAGUACCUAGGGCACUUGGACUGUGUUUUAUACUACUUUGUGACCUUCCCAGUGUCAAGAUGGGUACAGACUAGAUGCUCAAUAAAUAUUUGGGUGAUUAAUUACCUAAGGAAUUAGGAUUAAUCACCUAAAGGAUUCUUUGGUUGAUAAACCUAAGGAAUUCAAUAGAAUGGAAGUCUAGGAAAAACUUUGCUUGCAUGGAACUAUCAAAGUAAAGCUUUGGACUGUGAAUAAUUCAGUCAACCUGCAAGCCUCGAUUAUCUGCUCCGAGUUUGUGAAGACCAUUGCUGUUGUCCCCGAGGUGUAUUGAUAAGUUAACAUGAUCGUAACUCUCAAGAUGUUUAUGGUUCAGUACCAGGAGCAAGAGAGAUAAGUGUGAUCAUCAGAAUUGUAGAAAUAUAAAAGUGGUGCAGAGGAGAAAGACUGAGAUGAAUGAAGUUGACAAGGAUAACAGGUUGAACACUCCAUAGUGGAAAGAGGCAGUGAGAUGGGAAAUUAUUCCAUAAAGCUUCCUUCAAAGAGUGUCAGCAAGAUGCAAUGCCAAUGGAAUAGAAAAAUCUUUAGAAUCACAGUGUCAUAUUUGAGGGACCUUUGACUUUACAUGAAAUUACCACUGCAUGAGUACAGCAACACUUUAAUCUUGGAUAUUCCUUUAUUAUUUAUUCAUCCAACCUAGCUUGCAUAAAUAUUUCCUUGGGCUUUUUUGUUUUUCCAUGUUUGUUGGCACUGAUUUUUCAGCAAAGGAGCCUCUUAGACUGAAUGUGCUGUUAAACUGUGGCCUCCUAGGCCUAACCCACUUGAUAGCCUGCAGUUUGUGAUGGUACCUCUGCUGCCCACUCCAACCACAUCCCCUUCUUCUACCUGCCUGAUCCACCCAGAUCCCCUCUGAUUAAUUAUUCACACCUAUAUAUCUUCAACUUCCAUUAGGACCUCCCUCACGUUGUGGUGCUUCUUUACCCGCAAAAUGCAGAGCCCUGGCCGGGUGCGGUGGCUCACGCCUGUAAUCCCAGC
rnacentral:lncRNA from 1 species